rnacentral:rRNA from 1 species
UGAGGAACAUGACCUUCGGCGGGGGAUAGCCGGCCCAACGGCCGGGUAAUACCGCGUACGACCACUCGGGGACAUCCCCAGGUGGUGAAAGCAGCAAUGCGCCGAUGGAGUGCCUCGCGGCCUAUCAGCUAGUUGGUGAGGUAACGGCUCACCAAGGCGACGACGGGUAGCUGGU